rnacentral:rRNA from 1 species
UACGAAGGGGGCUAGCGUUGCUCGGAAUCACUGGGCGUAAAGGGUGCGUAGGCGGGUCUUUAAGUCAGGGGUGAAAUCCUGGAGCUCAACUCCAGAACAGCCUUUGAUACUGAGGAUCUUGAGUUCGGGAGAGGUGAGUGGAACUGCGAGUGUAGAGGUGAAAUUCGUAGAUAUUCGCAAGAACACCAGUGGCGAAGGCGGCUCACUGGCCCGAUACUGACGCUGAGGCACGAAAGCGUGGGGAGCAAACAGG